rnacentral:rRNA from 1 species
UAACAAGGAUUCCCCUAGUAACUGCGAGUGAAGCGGGAAGAGCUCAAAUUUAAAAUCUGGCGGUCUUCGGCCGUCCGAGUUGUAAUCUGGAGAAGCGUUUUCCGCGCUGGACCGUGCACAAGUCUCCUGGAACGGAGCGUCGUAGAGGGUGAGAAUCCCGUCCAUGGUACGGACAACCAGUGCUUUGUGAUACGCUCUCGAAGAGUCGAGUUGUUUGGGAAUGCAGCUCAAAAUGGGUGGUAAAUUCCAUCUAAAGCUAAAUAUUGGCGAGAGACCGAUAGCGAACAAGUACCGUGAGGGAAAGAUGAAAAGCACUUUGGAAAGAGAGUUAAACAGUACGUGAAAUUGUUGAAAGGGAAACGCUUGAAGUCAGUCGCGUCCGGCAGAACUCAGCCUUGCUUCGGCCUGGUGUACUUUCUGUCGGACGGGUCAACAUCAGUUUUGACCGGUGGAAAAAGACAAGGGGAAUGUAGCGCCGUUUCGGCGGCGUGUUAUAGCCCCUCGUCGUAUACAUCGGUUGGGACUGAGGACCGCAGCACGCCCUUGUGGCCGGGGUUCGCCCACGUAACGUGCUUAGGAUGUUGGCAUAAUGGCUUUAAGCGACCCGUCUUGAAACACGGACCAAGGAGUCCAACAUGCUUGCGAGUGUUCGGGUGGAAAACCCUUGCGCGUAAUGAAAGUGAAAGUUGGGAGCCUCCGCAAGGGGGUGCACCGACGCCCGGCCCUGACGUUCUCUGACGGUGCUGCGGUAGAGCAAGUAUGCUGGGACCCGAAAGAUGGUGAACUAUGCCUGAAUAGGGCGAAGCCAGAGGAAACUCUGGUGGAGGCUCGUAGCGAUUCUGACGUGCAAAUCGAUCGUCAAAUUUGGG